rnacentral:misc_RNA from 1 species
UUUUGUUUUUGUUUUUCCCCCCAAUUUCUUGUGGCAUUUGACAUUUGAGAACACUUUCUUUGCCAUUUCUUUUUGAUUUUUGGCAUUUCAAUACUUGACAAUUUUUUUGCAUUUCUUUUUGAACAUUUUCAAAGUCACCCCAAUUAGUAACGAGGGUGCCUUGUAUUUGAAGUUUUUAGGAGUCUAUUUUUGCUCCUUUUUUUUCUUUUGAUGCAUUUUUGCAAACUUUCUUUCACUUUUCAUUUCAUUGAACUCAAAUUGAUUUCUUUUUGUGCCCAUUCCCUUUUGUUGACAAAAAUAUGGUAGAACAUGGAUGAUGGAUGUAUGGGUGCAUGGUUUCAAGGGUCACCUUGGAAUAAACGGUAGCCAAGGAGUUAUCACACCACAAGGUACUCUUGACUCGGCCUUAAACCAUGGGUCAAAGGAUACUAGCAUGACACAUCCUAGGGUGUUUUACAAGUAUUCUAACAAACAAAGUCUUAAGAAGAAAAAACAUUUACUAAGGCCUAUAUACACUUGUCAAGCUUCCCAAGUAGACAGUUUCGCAAAAUUUUUCUAACAUGCAACGUACAUGCCAUGAUGAACCUAACAUAUAAACAUCCUAAUUCAAAUGAUUCUUGUAACACCCCCAUACUCCAAGUGCCUUACCAGGACCACUCGGGUAUGAAGACAUCACCAUCUCGGUCGCCCGAGGCAUGAUAAUCAAAUAGACA